ACAGCCAUUGUCAUUGGCCAAUUGGCCAGACAUGUGAUAGAUAGGGAAUUUAGUUAAUUAUCUUACGUGUUGGACGACUGUUUAAUUAUGUAAUUUAAUUAUAAACAAUAAUUAGUUUGUUAACCAUACAUUUUACAAAAUGAAGUUUUAAUCUUCUUUAGAUUUUUAAUACAUAAUGUAAUGUACUUUAUCGACUUGUUCUUAGUAAAGUGAACAAAGUUCAUUCCAUACUUGAGUUUUCAAAUUAAUUCGUAUACAGUUUUAAAUCAGGUGUAAAGGUUAUUAACAUUCAAUGUUGUCGUCACGAAAUAUUGCCAAUAUUUUAAUAAGUAGUUUAUAAGCGAUGCGCAAAUUUUUAAUUUAUUUCGUCAUCUAGUUUUCUUUUUCCAGUUCCCGAUAUGGUUGAAAUUGCAAGAUAUCUCUCACCCAAUUGACUGCCAGUUUUUGUGGAGUCUAUGCACCAAAUACUGCUAGGUAGCUAUUUGUUUGAAACUUUGCUACUAAUUUACUAACAUUUUUUAUUCAUAUUGACAUAAUUUUGAUUUUUCUUGGUGAAAAAUAUAUAGAAUGGUCAA